UACGUAGGUGGCGAGCGUUGUCCGGAAUUACUGGGUGUAAAGGGUGCGUAGGCGGAUUUGCAAGUCAGGUGUGAAACCUAUCGGCUUAACCGGUAGCCUGCACUUGAAACUGUAAGUCUUGAGUGGUGAAGAGGUAAGCGGAAUUCCUAGUGUAGCGGUGAAAUGCGUAGAUAUUAGGAGGAACACCAGUGGCGAAGGCGGCUUACUGGGCACUAACUGACGCUGAGGCACGAAAGCAUGGGGAGCAAACAGGGUUAGAUACCCUGGUAGUCCAUGCCGUAAACGAUGAUUACUAGGUGUAGGGGGUAUCGACCCCCCCUGUGCCGCAGUUAACACAAUAAGUAAUCCACCUGGGGAGUACGGCCGCAAGGUUGAA
rnacentral:rRNA from 1 species